GUGUCAGCAGCCGCGGUAAUACAGAGGGUGCGAGCGUUGUCCGGAAUUACUGGGCGUAAAGGGCGCGUAGGCGGCUUGGUAAGUCGGGGGUGAAAGUCAGCGGCUCAACCGCUGGACUGCCUUCGAGACUGCCUGGCUUGAGCAUGGUAGAGGCUGGCGGAAUUCCCGGUGUAGCGGUGGAAUGCGUAGAGAUCGGGAAGAACAUCGGUGGCGAAGGCGGCCAGCUGGGCCAUUGCUGACGCUGAGGCGCGACAGCGUGGGGAGCAAACAGGAUUAGAUACCCUGGUAGUCC
rnacentral:rRNA from 1 species